rnacentral:rRNA from 1 species
GACGAACGCUGGCUGCGUGCUUAACACAUGCAAGUCGAACGAAGUGGCGCACGGGUGAGUAACGCGUAAUAAACCUGCCCUUCAGAGGGGGACAACAGUUGGAAACGACUGCUAAUACCGCCUACUGAUGGAGGGGAUUGCGUCUGAUUUGCUGGUUGGCGGGGUAACGGCCACCCAAGGCGAUGAUCAGUAGUCGGUCGGGUAGUGUGAGCGACCACAGUGGGACUGAGACACGGCCCAGACCCCUACGGUAAGCAGCAGUGGGGAAUCUGCCGAAAUGGACGAAAGUCUGACGGAGAAACGCCGCGUGAGUGAUGACGGCCUUCGGGUUGUAAAGCUCUGUUAAUCUGGACGCGGUACCGGAAGAGAAAGCCACGGCUAACUACGUGCCAGCAGCCGCGGUAAUAC